GGCUUAGUUGAGUUGAGUAUAAUAUUUAGAAGAACAGUUUCUGUUAACUGUUAUAAAUUAACGAAAGCUUAUAGAUCUUUAAUUUGUCUAUAAGACAUUCAUGUGUCUCUUAUAUAAGUUAUUAUGAUAAGAUUCUAGAGACUUUCACAGAGAACAAAUUGAAUUCACACAUGGACAUAUAUCAAUAUUUUAUAUGUAUAUCAAUAUUUAAAUUAC
rnacentral:misc_RNA from 1 species